UACGUAGGGGGCAAGCGUUGUCCGGAAUCAUUGGGCGUAAAGAGCUCGUAGGCGGUUUGUCGCGUCGAAUGUGAAAACCCGGGCUCAACCCCGGGCCUGCAUUCGAUACGGGCAGACUAGAGUUCGGUAGGGGGAGACUGGAAUUCCUGGUGUAGCGGUGAAAUGCGCAGAUAUCAGGAGGAACACCGGUGGCGAAGGCGGCAUCCUGGACCAAUUCUGACACUGAGGAGCGAAAGCCAGGGAGCAAACGGG
rnacentral:rRNA from 1 species